rnacentral:misc_RNA from 1 species
AAGUCGUAACAAGGUUUCCGUAGGUGAACCUGCGGAAGGAUCAUUAUUGAAUAUACUUGAUGGGUUGUAGCUGGCUCUCCGGAGCAAUGUGCACACCUGUCUUGCUUUUUAUUCAUCCACCUGUGCACUUUUUGUAGUCUUCUAGGGAUUGAGAGCAGCCAACUAUCGAACUUUCUCGGAUGUGAGGAAUGCUUGCGCACAAAAGUGCCAGCUCUCCUCAAAUGGUUGUGAACCUUUCCUGGAGUCUAUGUUUUUCAUAUACCACAUAGUAUGUUGCAGAAUGUAUUCAAUGGGCCUUUUUGUGCCUAUAAAUGAUCUAUACAACUUUCAGCAACGGAUCUCUUGGCUCUC